CUGCCUGUCCCUUCCACACCUGCUCUAGAGGGGUGCACCAUGGCCAGGUUCUCCCAGAAUCCUCUGUGUGCUCCAAACCCUCCCUUCUUCCCAUCACAGGCCUGCCCCAGCAGGAUCCAGAGGCAGGACCAGGAGUUCAGUUCACUUCAGUUGCUCUUUGAGACCCCAUGAACUGUAGCACACCAGGCCUCCCUGUCCAUCACCAACUCCUGGAGUCUGCCCAAACUCAUGUCCAUCGAGCUGGUCGUGGUAAGAUAAUCAAAGGGCAUGAUCAACAGCUCAUAUAUUGCUUUGCUGUGGACUUAGAGUGCAAGGACAGACGAAGACCAGACACUGACUUUACAUUUUUGAUAGGUCACGCCUUGCUAAAAUAAUAAGAGUGUGAUCAACGGCUCCUACGUUGCCUUGGUGUGGAGCCAGUGUUGAGGCAUAGACGAAGAACAGACACUGAUUCCACACUUCUCGUAGGUACAUAAUACAGCCCUGAGUGGUGCUUUGGUUCUGUUACCUGCUUCUGUACAGUAGGCACCUCUCUCAAGGCAGGUCCCUCACCGAAUUUCUUGGGUUACUGUCUGAUGAGUAGCGUGUUCAGGUAGACUUAGUCGCUACAGCUGUAUCAUCAUUAUGAUCAGAAAAGUUUUCCCUGCUUGAUUCAACUAAAACUGGAGCCCGGCAAGGGCCAUUAUUUUCCUGGAGCCGAUUUCACACGUCUGAUGGGUGUGGAAGAGAACUCCCCGGUGUACUUUGUGUUUUAUUCCUUUGCCUUUCAGAAAGAUGAUUUUCCAAAGUGUUUUAAUCCAGUUUAUACUGGUUCCGUGGAGGUGCAUCCUUAAUGCUAAGACUGAGCAAAGGCAGGGUUAGUUCAGCAACCUGAGUCCUUCUGAACCUAUCAAAAGUAGCCUUCCUGCAGGAUGGGCCAGGUGGCCAGGGGCAGGAGCUUCAGUGCCUUGUUUCUGAACAUGGCCACUGCUGAUGCCACGCCCCCAAGGGCCUGACAGCCAGGGGCUCCUUGGUUGGGAAGCCAGGCUCCGGAACACCACUACCUGUUGCUCCCACACCUGCUCUGGUGAGGUGGCAGGCUGCCAGGUUCGCCCUGGAUCUUCGGAGUGCUGGAAACCCUCACUUCCUCCUGUUACAGGCCUUCCUCUGGCAGGAUUCACAGGAAGGGCCUGCAUGCCAUGCUGAAAAAGCUUCCCCUUCAUGGAACUGUUUUCCCAGAAACGCUAUUGCCCUCUCCUGCUGGGCCACUCCCUCCGCCCUAUGUUGGUGAAAAAAGGCUCUGGUUGUGCCCAAGCGCCUUUUAAGUGCUGUAACGGGGCAUCACUCUAAUGGAUUGUUGAAGAAAGAGGUGUCUCCUCCUUAGGGGGCUUCUCCUUGGCAGUAAGGUCAUACCUUUGUGGAUAUCUAAAGCAUCCUGUCCACCUGUAGUCCAUGUUCAUAGCAAUCUAGGAGAUUCUGAGUCCACAUGGCCUGGACCCUACGUUUUCUAGUGAUCACUAUGUGAUAUGUUCUGUCAGUUUAUUACUGGUCAAGUUUGAAGCCAGAAUUCCCUUGAUGCUGUAAUAAUUAGGCUUUGGUUGAAGGCCUUUGCCACUUGGAAUAAAUCCAGGUUGUAACCACGCAUACAAAGUGUGCGCUUGUGUUAUAUGAAUCCUUUUGGAAUAGGUGUAGAGAUGUUAUAAUUAUCAUCACUAUAAAUGUCUGCAUAGUUUUAGGAAAUUUUUAUAUAUACUAUAUAUUCAAUAAGUGCCCAUUUUUACCUCCCGAGGUUUCUGACAGUCUUAAUUUCAAAGAGGUGUUGGUUAUUUUUAUGAAAGUACCCCUGUGGCGGUGUGGGUGGAGGACUCUUGGUGGUAGUCGUAGCAAGGUGAAAUAUGCCCCUGACUUCAUGGAAAAAAUGACAUCAACCCCAAAUGUUAAUGAAGUUGUUAAUCAAGACAAACUCAUUCAUUGCCAGUAGGAAUACAAAAUAUUCUAACCACUCUAUGUAAUAAAUGAAAACUUAUUGUGGUCUAUUUUGAAGGGUAGCUAUCUUUGAGGAAAAAAGAAAAUUUACUAGCACUCAAACAAA